UACGUAGGGUGCGAGCGUUGUCCGGAAUCACUGGGCGUAAAGGGUGCGUAGGCGGGUCUUUAAGUCAGGGGUGAAAUCCUGGAGCUCAACUCCAGAACUGCCUUUGAUACUGAAGAUCUUGAGUUCGGGAGAGGUGAGUGGAACUGCGAGUGUAGAGGUGAAAUUCGUAGAUAUUCGCAAGAACACCAGUGGCGAAGGCGGCUCACUGGCCCGAUACUGACGCUGAGGCACGAAAGCGUGGGGAGCAAACAGG
rnacentral:rRNA from 1 species